rnacentral:rRNA from 1 species
GAUGAACGCUGGCGGCGUGCCUAAUACAUGCAAGUCGAGCGAACGGACGAGAAGCUUGCUUCUCUGAUGUUAGCGGCGGACGGGUGAGUAACACGUGGAUAACCUACCUAUAAGACUGGGAUAACUUCGGGAAACCGGAGCUAAUACCGGAUAAUAUUUUGAACCGCAUGGUUCAAAAGUGAAAGACGGUCUUGCUGUCACUUAUAGAUGGAUCCGCGCUGCAUUAGCUAGUUGGUAAGGUAACGGCUUACCAAGGCAACGAUGCAUAGCCGACCUGAGAGGGUGAUCGGCCACACUGGAACUGAGACACGGUCCAGACUCCUACGGGGGCAGCAGUAGGGAAUCUUCCGCAAUGGGCGAAAGCCUGACGGAGCAACGCCGCGUGAGUGAUGAAGGUCUUCGGAUCGUAAAACUCUGUUAUUAGGGAAGAACAUAUGUGUAAGUAACUGUGCACAUCUUGACGGUACCUAAUCAGAAAGCCACGGCUAACUACGUG